GUCAUGAGCACUGUCUGCUGCUCGUCCCCCUUCUCUCUGCUGCUCCCAUGGGCCAUGGCCGCCUUCCCCUGCAUGCCAUGGCCCUAGGGCAGCGCCCCCUCGAAAUCCACCCAAGGUCGCCCCCACCCCCUCUGGAUAUGCCGCAGCAGCUAGUUUUAGCUGCGUCAGAGGUGCGGAGGCAACGCCAUGAACUGUGAUUGGGCUUAUCUCGUCGCUGGACCAUGGAAGCCUCAGCGACCAGUUCUCUGCGAGACCAUGGCACCUGCUGUCCAAAGAACACCACCAAGGAAGCUGACACCCAAGAAGCUGAAGACCAAUUGAUGUAACUGUGAACCAUGUCAUGUAACUGAGAGUGGACUCAGUGUCUACUUUCAUUUAACUGAGAUGUGAACUCGGUAUGUCUACUUUCAUGUAACUGAGAUGUAAACUCAGUAUUUGCCAUGUUUAUGCAACUCAAUUAUGACAGUAGUGAACUAAA